rnacentral:rRNA from 1 species
UACGUAGGGGGCAAGCGUUGUCCGGAAUCAUUGGGCGUAAAGAGCGUGUAGGCGGUUCGGUAAGUCGGCUGUGAAAGUCCAGGGCUCAACCCUGGGAUGCCGGUCGAUACUGCCGGACUAGAGUUCGGAAGAGGCGAGUGGAAUUCUCGGUGUAGCGGUGAAAUGCGCAGAUAUCGGGAGGAACACCUAUGGCGAAGGCAGCUCGCUGGGACGUUACUGACGCUGAGACGCGAAAGCGUGGGGAGCAAACAGG